rnacentral:rRNA from 1 species
AUUGAACGCUGGCGGCAGGCCUAACACAUGCAAGUCGAACGAGUGGCGGACGGGUGAGUAAUGUCUGGGAAACUGCCCGAUGGUGGGGGAUAACUACUGGAAACGGUAGCUAAUACCGCAUACCAUCGGAUGUGCCCCGCUGGGAUUAGCUGGUAGGUGGGGUAACGGCUCACCGAGGCGACGAUCCCUAGCUGGUCUGCGAGGAUGACCAGCCACACUGGAACUGAGCGACGGUCCAGACUCCUACGGGAGGCAGCAGUGGGGAAUAUUGCGCAAUGGGCGCAAGCCUGAUGCAGCCAUGCCGCGUGUAUGAAGAAGGCCUUCGGGUUGUAAAGUACUUUCAGCGGGGAGGCGUUACUCGCAGAAGAAGCACCGGCUAACUCCGUGCCAGCAGCCGCGGUAAUAC